rnacentral:rRNA from 1 species
AGAGUUUGAUCCUGGCUCAGAUUGAACGCUGGCGGCAUGCCUUACACAUGCAAGUCGAACGGCAGCACGGGAGCAAUCCUGGUGGCGAGUGGCGAACGGGUGAGUAAUAUAUCGGAACGUGCCCAGUCGUGGGGGAUAACGCAGCGAAAGCUGUGCUAAUACCGCAUACGAUCUACGGAUGAAAGCGGGGGACUCGCAAGAGCCUCGCGCGAUUGGAGCGGCCGAUAUCAGAUUAGCUAGUUGGUGGGGUAAAAGCCCACCAAGGCGACGAUCUGUAGCUGGUCUGAGAGGACGACCAGCCACACUGGAACUGAGACACGGUCCAGACUCCUACGGGAGGCAGCAGUGGGGAAUUUUGGACAAUGGGCGCAAGCCUGAUCCAGCAAUGCCGCGUGCAGGAUGAAGGCCUUCGGGUUGUAAACUGCUUUUGUACGGAACGAAAAGGUCUGCCCUAAUACGGCGGGCUCAUGACGGUACCGUAAGAAUAAGCACCGGCUAACUACGUGCCAGCAGCCGCGGUAAUACGUAGGGUGCGAGCGUUAAUCGGAAUUACUGGGCGUAAAGCGUGCGCAGGCGGUUAUAUAAGACAGAUGUGAAAUCCCCGGGCUCAACCUGGGACCUGCAUUUGUGACUGUAUAGCUAGAGUACGGUAGAGGGGGAUGGAAUUCCGCGUGUAGCAGUGAAAUGCGUAGAUAUGCGGAGGAACACCGAUGGCGAAGGCAAUCCCCUGGACCUGUACUGACGCUCAUGCACGAAAGCGUGGGGAGCAAACAGGAUUAGAUACCCUGGUAGUCCACGCCCUAAACGAUGUCAACUGGUUGUUGGGUCUUCACUGACUCAGUAACGAAGCUAACGCGUGAAGUUGACCGCCUGGGGAGUACGGCCGCAAGGUUG